UGUCCCAAGAGGUGUCCAGCAAACCACAGCACCGAGCGGCCCUUACGCAAGGCGGGAUGACACAAGAUCCCUGGCUGCAGGCCUGGGAAUCCUUCUCAGAGGUGUCAGAGGAGGAAAACUAUGCUUCUUAUUCUCUGGCAGGGGAAGAAACAGGAAAAGGAACUUUUUGGCUGGACAUUUUGAGGUGUCAACCAUCCCAAGGGACACUGUGCUACGUGGAGAGACCAGCUGGCUUGGACCAAACUGCUGCCGCCGGGAGCUGAGAGGCUGCGGGAGCUCCUACCCCUGGGCUGUUGAGCUCAUCCUCCUGCCAGUGACUGAGCUGUGACACUGCUGGCGACUCCCAGCCAUGAGGAUCCUGCCUGCCCUCUGUGCUCUGCUCCUCCUGAUGCUCCUGGGAGUGACAGGUCUGUCCCUGGCUCGAGGAUCCCACCAGGAAUGUGAGCGUCGCGGGGGCUUCUGCUCCCACCGGUCCUGCCCUCCCGGGAUCGGCCGUGUUGGCCUCUGCUCUGAGCAGGAAUUCUGCUGUCGGAUGCGAUGGUAUCCCUGAGAGGCUCCUGGAUCCCUGGUGCCAGUCUCUGAGACCAGCCCUUGUCCUCUCUGCGUGUUCAGGAUGAUGCUGCGUGGAGACACUGAGCACCGCCGGGAGCAGCGACAGCCCUGGACAGCCAGACCAUGAUCCCAUGGGAAUCCCUUUAACCCAGUGUCCCCAAUACAAGGUGGUGGUUUGCAUUCCCGCUGCCAA